UACGGGGGGGGUAAGCGUUGUUCGGAAUUACUGGGCGUAAAGGGCUCGUAGGCGGCCAACUAAGUCAUACGUGAAAUCCCUCAGCUUAACUGGGGAACUGCGUCUGAUACUGGAUGGCUUGGAUUCGGGAGAGGAAUGCGGAAUUCCAGGUGUAGCGGUGAAAUGCGUAGAUAUCUGGAGGAACACCGGUGGCGAAGGCGGCAUUCUGGACCGAUAUUGACGCUGAGGAGCGAAAGCCAGGGGAGCAAACGGG
rnacentral:rRNA from 1 species